rnacentral:rRNA from 1 species
UGAGUGCGAGCUGCUACGGCAGCGAAGUUGGUGAUGUCAUGCUUCCAAGAAAAGCCCUAUACCCGUUAAGGCAUCAUGGCCUGUACCCGAAACCGACACAGGUGGGGUGGUAGAGAAUACCGAGGGGCGCGAGGUAACUCUCUCUAAGGAACUCGGCAAAAUGGCCCCGUAACUUCGGGAUAAGGGGUGCCACCGCAAGGUGGUCGCAGUGAAGACGCCCAGGCGACUGUUUACCAAAAACACAGGUCUCCGCUAAGUCGCAAGACGAUGUAUGGGGGCUGACGCCUGCCCAGUGCCGGAAGGUUAAGGAAGCUGGUCAGCGCAAGCGAAGCUAGCGACUGAAGCCCCGGUGAACGGCGGCCGUAACGAUAGCGGUCCUAAGGUAGCGAAAUUCCUUGUCGGGUAAGUUCCGACCCGCACGAAAGGCGUAACGAUCUGGGCGCUGUCUCGGAGAGAGGCUCGGCGAAAUAGAAUUGUCUGUGAAGAUGCGGACUACGUGCACCCGGACAGAAAGACCCUAUGAAGCUUUACUGUAGCUUGGUAUUGUGCCCGGGCUCGCAAUGCGCAGGAUAGGUGGGAGGCUUUGAUCAUCGGCUUGCGGGUCGAUGUGAGCCAACGGUGAGAUACCACUCUUUGCGAGCUAGGGUUCUAACGGCCACCCGUCAUCCGGGGGCCGGACAGUACCUGGUGGGCAGUUUGACUGGGGCGGUCGCCUCCUAAAAGGUAACGGAGGCGCGCAAAGGUUUGCUCAGGCUGGUUGGAAAUCAGCCGACGAGUGUAAAAGCAGAAGCAAGCUUGACUGUGAGACCAACAAGUCGAACAGGGAGGAAACUCGGCUUUAGUGAUCCGACGGUUCUGAGUGGAAGGGCCGUCGCUCAACGGAUAAAAGUUACUCUAGGAUAACAGGCUGAUCUCCCCCAAGAGUUCACAUCGACGGGGAGGUUUGGCACCUCGAUGUCGGCUCAUCGCAACCUGGGGCUGAAGUCGGUCCCAAGGGUUGGGCUGUUCGCCCAUUAAAGCGGUACGCGAGCUGGGUUCAGAACGUCGUGAGACAGUUCGGUCCAUAUCCGGUGCACGCGCAGGAAUAUUGAGAGGAUUUCUCCCUAGUACGAGAGGACCGGGAGGAACGCACCUCUGGUGUACCAGUUAUCGUGCCAACGGUAAACGCUGGGUAGCCAUGUGCGGAGUGGAUAACCGCUGAAAGCAUCUAAGUGGGAAGCCCACCUCAAGAUGAGUAUUCCCAUGGCGUAAGCCAGUAAGGUCACGGGAAGAACACCCGUUGAUAGGCUCUAUGUGGAAGCGCAGUAAUGCGUGAAGCAGAGGAGUACUAAUAGACCGAGGGCUUGA